rnacentral:lncRNA from 1 species
GACUCGGAGUCGGAGGGCUUGGAGUUCCAGGUGUUGGGGGCCUUGGAGGUAUACCUCCAGCUGCAGCCGCUAAAGCAGCUAAAUACGGUGGGGCCUGCCUGGGGAAAGCUUGUGGCCGGAAGAGAAAAUGAGCUUCCUAGGACCCCUGACUCACGACCUCAUCAACGUUGGUGCUACUGCUUGGUGGAGAAUGUAAACCCUUUGUAACCCCAUCCCAUGCCCCUCCGACUCCCCACCCCAGGAGGGAACGGGCAGGCCGGGCGGCCUUGCAGAUCCACAGGGCAAGGAAACAAGAGGGGAGCGGCCAAGUGCCCCGACCAGGAGGCCCCCUACUUCAGAGGCAAGGGCCAUGUGGUCCUGGCCCCCCACCCCAUCCCUUCCCACCUAGGAGCUCCCCCUCCACACAGCCUCCAUCUCCAGGGGAACUUGGUGCUACACGCUGGUGCUCUUAUCUUCCUGGGGGGAGGGAGGAGGGAAGGGUGGCCCCUCGGGGAACCCCCUACCUGGGGCUCCUCUAAAGAUGGUGCAGACACUUCCUGGGCAGUCCCAGCUCCCCCUGCCCACCAGGACCCACCGUUGGCUGCCAUCCAGUUGGUACCCAAGCACCUGAAGCCUCAAAGCUGGAUUCGCUCUAGCAUCCCUCCUCUCCUGGGUCCACUUGGCCGUCUCCUCCCCACCGAUCGCUGUUCCCCACAUCUGGGGCGCUUUUGGGUUGGAAAACCACCCCACACUGGGAAUAGCCACCUUGCCCUUGUAGAAUCCAUCCGCCCAUCCGUCCAUUCAUCCAUCGGUCCGUCCAUCCAUGUCCCCAGUUGACCGCCCGGCACCACUAGCUGGCUGGGUGCACCCACCAUCAACCUGGUUGACCUGUCAUGGCCGCCUGUGCCCUGCCUCCACCCCCAUCCUACACUCCCCCAGGGCGUGCGGGGCUGUGCAGACUGGGGUGCCAGGCAUCUCCUCCCCACCCGGGGUGUCCCCACAUGCAGUACUGUAUACCCCCCAUCCCUCCCUCGGUCCACUGAACUUCAGAGCAGUUCCCAUUCCUGCCCCGCCCAUCUUUUUGUGUCUCGCUGUGAUAGAUCAAUAAAUAUUUUAUUUUUUGUCCUGG